rnacentral:rRNA from 1 species
UGGGGAAUUUUGGACAAUGGGCGCAAGCCUGAUCCAGCAAUGCCGCGUGCAGGAUGAAGGCCUUCGGGUUGUAAACUGCUUUUGUACGGAGCGAAAAGGUCUGCCCUAAUACGGUGGGCUCAUGACGGUACCGUAAGAAUAAGCACCGGCUAACUACGUGCCAGCAGCCGCGGUAAUACGUAGGGUGCGAGCGUUAAUCGGAAUUACUGGGCGUAAAGCGUGCGCAGGCGGUUAUAUAAGACAGAUGUGAAAUCCCCGGGCUCAACCUGGGAACUGCGUUUGUGACUGCAAGGCUAGAGUAUGGCAGAGGGGGGUGGAAUUCCACGUGUAGCAGUGAAAUGCGUAGAUAUGCGGAGGAACACCGAUGGCGAAGGCAAUCCCCUGGACCUGUACUGACGCUCAUGCACGAAAGCGUGGGGAGCAAACA